CCGGUAAACGGCGGCCGUAACUAUAACGGUCCUAAGGUAGCGAAAUUCCUUGUCGGGUAAGUUCCGACCUGCACGAAUGGCGUAAUGAUGGCCAGGCUGUCUCCACCCGAGACUCAGUGAAAUUGAACUCGCUGUGAAGAUGCAGUGUACCCGCGGCAAGACGGAAAGACCCCGUGAACCUUUACUAUAGCUUGACACUGAACAUUGAGCCUUGAUGUGUAGGAUAGGUGGGAGGCUUUGAAGUGUGGACGCCAGUCUGCAUGGAGCCGACCUUGAAAUACCACCCUUUAAUGUUUGAUGUUCUAACGUUGACCCGUAAUCCGGGUUGCGGACAGUGUCUGGUGGGUAGUUUGACUGGGGCGGUCUCCUCCUAAAGAGUAACGGAGGAGCACGAAGGUUGGCUAAUCCUGGUCGGACAUCAGGAGGUUAGUGUAAUGGCAUAAGCCAGCUUGACUGCGAGCGUGACGGCGCGAGCAGGUGCGAAAGCAGGUCAUAGUGAUCCGGUGGUUCUGAAUGGAAGGGCCAUCGCUCAACGGAUAAAAGGUACUCCGGGGAUAACAGGCUGAUACCGCCCAAGAGUUCAUAUCGACGGCGGUGUUUGGCACCUCGAUGUCGGCUCAUCACAUCCUGGGGCUGAAGUAGGUCCCAAGGGUAUGGCUGUUCGCCAUUUAAAGUGGUACGCGAGCUGGGUUUAGAACGUCGUGAGACAGUUCGGUCCCUAUCUGCCGUGGGCGCUGGAGAACUGAGGGGGGCUGCUCCUAGUACGAGAGGACCGGAGUGGACGCAUCACUGGUGUUCGGGUUGUCAUGCCAAU
rnacentral:rRNA from 1 species